AUUCAUAUGAUCAGCUGAUACCGAUCAACGCAGAGGUGAGAACGGAACUCUGUUGGUGGCUCCUCCAUAUACAAGCCUGGAAUGGGAAAGCCAUUUUUGGUCCUUCACCAGAUUUCGUGGUGGAAUCGGAUGCCAGCCUUUGGGGCUGUGGAGCACACUGCACAGACUCCUACACAGGGGGCCCAUGGCUACACGAGGAGUCAGACAUGCACAUCAACUGCUUGGAACUGAUAGCGGGCUCCUUUGCUAUCCACAACUUGGCCAAGCACAUGUCGGAUUGUUGUAUACUACUUUGCAUGGGCAACAUUUCAGCGGUGCAGUAUUUCAACCGCCUGGGCGGAGCUCGAUCUCAGGCACUCUCAGAGGCAACCAAAGACAUUUACACAUUUCGCCUCUCCAGGAAUAUCACCUUAAGAGCGGAAAACCUUCCAUGGACCUCCAAUCUCACGUCGGAUUGGUACAUCAGCG